UACGUAGGAGGCAAGCGUUGUCCGGAAUUACUGGGCGUAAAGCGCACGUAGGCGGAUUUGUAAGUCAGGGGUGAAAUCCCGGGGCUCAACCUCGGAACUGCCUUUGAUACUGCAAAUCUCGAGUCCGAUAGAGGUGGGUGGAAUUCCUAGUGUAGAGGUGAAAUGCGCAGAUAUCAGGAGGAACACCAACGGCGAAGGCAGCACUCUGGGCCGGAACUGACGCUGAGGAGCGAAAGCGUGGGGAUCAAACAGG
rnacentral:rRNA from 1 species